rnacentral:lncRNA from 1 species
CUUAGGUGGUUAAUUCAAUCAAUAGUAAUAGGGACGAUUCAAUCAUUCAAGUCUAGGAAUGGCAAGUCUUCCUAAGUUUCAUCUCGUGCGGUUGGUUCAAGUUCUGAUUCUGAUUUGUGCCUGGCUGGAAUCUUCCUUUCCCAGCCUCCAAUUAGAAACCUUUCUGGAAGAAGGGGUUUAAGUGGUGCCCUCUUGUUCAACCUCCGCUAUCGGGAGGAUCUUAUGCAUGUCAUGAACAAGAGAAAAAAAACCAGGGCAACAAACUACUGUUCAUAAAGACUAGUAUUCAAGAUAAGUAAGGAAGUCCUUUCCCCCAUGGAAAGUUUUGCAUGCAUGCAUUCUACCCCAGAACUAGAUUUCAAUCUCAACAAAGAAAGAUCUUAAAGCAUCUUAAAGCAUAAAUACCUCUUUUCCUCUUACUCUUGUAGCCUUGUGGAGGUCUCUCAGUUGUCAACGGCAGAUCCGAUCAGUCUCGUGAUGAAGAGAAGUCUUCUCCGAUCUUCAACUAAGAAACGUCACGACCAGGUCUCGGGGCUCCCACAGCUUGGUCUCUCUUCAUCUAGCAAACUACAGCUCAAAAGCAAGAAGCA